AACCCCUCAAGCUACGCUUGGUGUUGGGCGCUUGUCCCGCCUCCGGCGCGGACUCGCCUUAAAUCCAUUGGCGGCCUCCGUAUUGGGCUAUCGAGCGCAGUAGACCAGCGCCUCGGGCCCAGCGCGCGGGCGACCAGCAAGCGAACAUCAACCU
rnacentral:misc_RNA from 1 species